UUUCAGUAAAAUCCUUUUGUGUAAGCUAGUUGCCAACAUGAUCUACAAACGUCUUGAAAGCAGAUAGAUAUAGCAGGAUCUCGAUGGAAAAGUUGCAACCCAUUCUGUCUCUAUUUUCUUGGCAAUGAGAAUGGACACUUAUACAUUUAAGAGUCCACUCUGUAAGCAUCUAGACCUUGGCACCAGCUUCUACCUUUAGAACUUCAUCUCCAUUGCAUUGUAAUAGUUGUUCAAGUGGAGCUUCCCUAGAAAAGACCACAUUCCCAUUGCUUUUCCCUACAACCUUCGGCGCACUACUAACUGCAGCCUCAUUUUCAUGAUGAUUAUCAUUGCUAAGAGUCGGAUCUCUAGACUCAUUAGUUUCCAUUUCUAUGUCUUCUUCUUCAGCAUUAUUUUUAGCAAAUCGCCAACAAACCCCACUUGAAAACAUGUCCCAAUCAUCAUUAUGGUGGUUGAAGAUGAAGACAUGAAAUCAUAUGCACGCUUUUCCCUUCAAGUACAUCUCAGCUAUUCCCACCCUCAUUUCAUCACCUACUCGUUAUAUCUAGAAAUAUUUUCGAGCUUUCCACAACCAUUCUCUAGGGUCUUUUCUCUAAAAUAAGGAAAGUUUAUUUUGGUUGGUUUGGUAUUCAUCCUAGCCUCUCUAGCUCCUAGUGUAUUUCUAGAGGGAUGGUCAUUUUCCAUAGGACUACCACUGCUAAUUUGAGAUGGAGUACCAUAACCCUCAAAUUGUUUUUCCCUAUGGUUUGCCUUACUCUCAUUUAUCUGAGCCAUCAUAUAUACAAUAUAUUCAUAUUUACUGUUCAUUUUCACCAUCAAAUGCUCCAUCCUGUCCUGCUUAGAGCAAACCACCUUCAACAUUUGAUCCAAUGAUUUUGUCGCCACACCCAAAUCUGAUAUUUUUUCAUUUAACUUCUUAAGGUGCUCCUCAUUUGAUUUGCUCCUAGUUUCAACCUUGCCCA
rnacentral:lncRNA from 1 species